GCGGCAAUAGCUCAGUGGUAGACCCCCGCUUCGCGGGCGGGGAGACCCGGGUUCGAUUCCCGGCUGCUUCC
rfam:Toxocara canis scaffold1299, whole genome shotgun sequence.